UCUUGCUCUUCCAAAAUUAUUUCCUUGGUACAAACCCACUAUUUUGAGGUCCCUAAGUAGCGUGGGAGUGUCGUUGGAGCGAUCAACCCAUUAUUUUUCAUCCAUUGGAAACCCUAGCAUUUUGUGGAAUUGAAGAGGAUAGAUCGUGGGCAGCCCGAAUCAUAGGUUGGAUUUAGCUUGAGUUUGGAUCGUAUUGGAGAGCGUUUGAGGUACGGACGCACAGCCUGGUGAUCCACCUGUUUAGGACACCCUUUCUGCUAUUCGGAGUGCUCCUCUCUUUCCGGAGCUUAUACUUUUGGUAUAUAUAUUUAUUAGUGCAUUUGUAUAUAUUCGUUCAUGGGUACGGCGGG